AAAUAUAUUGUCUGGAGAAGCUUAUUUCUAGUUUGCAAUAAGCAAAUUUGAGUUUUCAAAAGGUACCUCACAACAUCCUGUAAGAGUCAAAAUGCUAUUUCUGUUUGAAAUGGUCAUUUGCUACUUGCAGCACUCUUGCUUAAGAUGCUUACAUUUAUUUUCCUUUUUUAUAGCUGCAUAAUUUUGCUAUCAUUUCUUUUACUUGCUACUUUUUUCUUGUUCAUGGCAACUAAUUUGAUUAGAUUUUAAUGAUGCAUAGAUUUUAGCACUGUGAUUUGAUGUGUUAACAAGCUGGAGUCUAUUUCAGCUUAAAAGAAAAGACUAUGAAAAGCCUAUUCUAUUCAGGCUGACUUUGAUGUCUAAAGUUACUUGAUAGCAUCUUCUAAUAUUCACAAAUGAGCAACAGGGCAGAUGAGAUUACAAUUGGAAACUCGUUAAAGUAAAUUGAUGCCUCUUUUGGUCCUGGUCUUUGCUGUUAGCUGUCUUCAGCUUCAGAAGCAAGAGCAGUGCCUAGGGGAAAAGUGCAAGGCUUUUAAUAUUUUUUUUUUAACUUUUAUUUUUUUUAGCUGGGACAAACAAUCUAAUUAUUCUAGAAUGGAUGAAAAAAAUGAUCACCCAGCAGCUAAACCUGAAGAUGAACUAAGUGUAGCCAACAUUUCAGUCCAAAUGGUAUCUGCAGAAGAUAAGUUGGCAAAGAGGAUUCUGGCAAGGAAAAAACAUGGCAAAUUGAAGAAAAAAGAGAAGUUGCUGUGGAAUUUUCAAAACAAAAUAAUUAUUUUUACCCUCAUUCUAUUUGUUUUAGGAGUUGUAACGUGGACUUUACUUUGGCUCUUCAUUGGUGAGUUGCUGAAAGCUCACACUGAUUUCAAAUAUCACUAUUCCUAGUAGCACUUGUAUUUUAUAUACCAGUUGCUUGUAGGAUCUUACUUGUUCUGAAGGCUCUUUCUAAGAUAAGCAUAAAACCUGGAAUACCUUUGUUACACUUAACAGGGUUCAAUGAACAAGGAAUUAUAGCAGUAGGCAAAACUGCUAUUUUAGGAAGCAUGAUUUCUAGCCCCCACACACUCCUCCCACCCCAAGACUUAAGCAAAACUUUUGUGUAUGUGCACUAGUUAAUUGUGUAGACAACUCCCCUAACUUGAUUCCACAAAGAUUCUGACCUCCACUGCAUUUCUUGGCCCGCUAGAGGCUGGGUAAGAUAUCUGUGCCUUAGGCAGAAUAAAUUUUAAAAGGUUAAAAAGGCAGUAAAAUAUGGAAGGCGAAUACUUUAUCUGUAAUUGUUGUGUUUUCUUUUUCUUUUUUUUGUUUUGUUUUCUUUUGUUUUAAAGAAGUGCUGCCUAAGAUUCCUUAGGGAUAUUCUUGAACUUGGAUGCUGACAUGACUUCUGUUACAGUUGGUUUGUACUGUGGUAUCUUAGGUUGUGUGUAGGAAGCAGGUGCUUGAUGUACCUUCAUAUUGUGGUACUCAUCUAGAAAAAAAUGUCUUUGAAUAUAUAAGGUUGAUUUGGUAGUCUUCUCCACUUUAAGGUUGAAUAGAUUAACUUGGUUUAAAAUUUUGAUCAGAAAAAAAUGUUUUCUUGUUACUUGAAAAUAAUUGGGGUCUGUCUUUGUUUCUUGCAGUUCAGGCAGAAAACAAAGAUGUGUUGUACUUUGUUGGGCUGUUUCGUGUUGCCAACAUAGAAUUUCUCCCAGAAUAUAGGCAGAAGGAAUCAAAAGAAUUUCUCUCUGUGGCGCAGAACGUGCAGCAUGUGGUAAGAUGAGUGGGCUGCUUGGUUAACAAAAAGUGGCAAAAAGACCAGAGCUGUGAUCAAUAAUUGCAAAUCUCAGGUGCCAUUGAGUCUGCUGUGGCAUUCUGCAGUUUUUAUCUUCUUCCUUAUUCCCUUUCAGAAGACUGCGCAGAUAUGGCUAGCUGAAGGCAGGAAGGAACUGGGUGCUUUUAGCUUGUUAACCACAAACUAAAUUUUGGAAAGGUCUGUUUGACAUACACAUUGACUAAAAUUUUACACAUUAUUCCCCACAAACCAGUCUAUGAAUAGAGCUCUACAAAAAACCUUCAAAAUUGCCACUUUUGAGACAUUGAUGAAAUAUUUUGCAUUCAAAGUGGUAUCUGCUGCCAGUCUUCUGCCUCAGAGCAUCUAUAAUUACAUUACAGCUCUCACAUGCUUUUACACUUAGUUUCCUUCUGAUGCCAGUUAUUCCAAAGACCAUUAUUCCUCCCAAACACCUUGUAACAGUCACAGCAGAAACAGCACUCAGUCGUAGGCCGUUAUGGCUGCUCUACAGCAGGCAGAGGUGGCUGUCUCAAUGCAACCAGAGAUUCUUGAACAAUUACCAAGUUUUGGUCAUCUUAUAGCAUGAACUCAUGCUCCUGUUUGCAAGCUCUUUGAUCAGAGGGAAGAUUUCUUGAUGACCCAAAGUGCUUUCAGGCCAGGGGUGGGAGCAGUGCAGGUAUUGUCCCUCCCAAUUUACCAGGGAGUAGCUUCAACCUGCUGUGGGCCAUUUGUCUUGUUCUUGUCCUAGAGCAUCCUGCUAUCUUCUCACACAGCAGAGAGAGGUGACACAGAAGAACAUGUGAACUGCCAGUGCCACCAUCUUCUACUUGGACAUAACUUGGAAAUGACUCUUUUUCUCUAAACUCAACCAAUACUCACCAAUAGAUUUUGCACUGCUAAUAAUGUGCAUCUCAGUUACAUGACUAUUGGCUAAAAAGGCUAGCAGGAAUGUUGGGAAUCUGAGUUUGUAAGGUUUUUGUCUUUUUUUUUGUUGUUGUUGUUCUAAUUGAAACCUUUUUGUUUAUGACUUCUGUGUCUGAGGUCUAUAGAACAAUAGCUGAAGAACCUCUCAAGUUAGACUCAUUCCCCCUUUGACAGUAAAAGCAAUAUAUAUAUAGAUAGAAUCCCUCAUAGCUUAAUCUGGAGACAGAUUGAGCUCUGCUCAUUUUACUUAGGCCCUUAAACUGAUUGUUCCAACUUUGUAUCAAAUGAUGAAGAUUAUGGACUAACAUCCAUAUGACUUUGACAGCCUUGGCUUCAAAAGAAUCCUAGUUACAGUCCCGUGGGCAUCAAUUAAGCAGCAGGAACAGAGGCUGAACAGCUUGAGGUACGUGCCACCUGGUGGUGCUAGUGGUGUGCCUCCUUCAACAAGGAUAAGCACGCGACGGUAACCUGCCUUAUCUAAAGAACUGGUGAAAGCGGGAGUAUGCUUUCCCAAAGGCUGUCCUGCAUCAAGAAAGGGGCAGAGCUUUCCCCUCUUCACAUAUUUUACACUGUAUUGGAAAGAAAUAUAUUAAUGCUAAGCUGCUAGUUGGGGAAAAAAAUAGACACAAAUGGAAUGAAAAGGCAGGAAGCUGCCCAUAAACAAUGGAGGGGGGGAAAAAAAAUAAAAUACCUAAAACAUAAAUAAUCCCCCGCAAAAACACAGCUCCCCUAAAAACAAGCCAAACAAAAAAAACCGACCCACACCCCUUAAAGCAAUCCUGAACUGUCUCCUUCAAAAAAAAGAAGAGUGUAAAAAAAAAACACCCUCCAAAACCAAAGAUACCCUCAAAAAAAAUAAAAAGCACACAAAAGCAAAAAGCAAACAAACAAAAAUCCUCAGCCCAAGACCAAAACAGAAGCAAGAAAUAAACAACCCCCAAAACAAAAGCAUGGGGAGAAAAAGGAAGAAAACAAAGUGAACCUCCCCAAAAGCAAAAACAAACAAACAACAAAAAAAACAAACCACCCCAAAACAAAGUAAAGCCUCCCAAGAAAACAAAACAAAAUGGAAUAAUAAAUAAAAAAGAAAAGAAAUGAGAAACAAAGUGAAGAAAAGAUAACACAAAAAAACACCUCAUAAAGAACAAUAGUAAAAUAACCAGAAAACAAGAAAGCAAAAUGACAAAAAAGACAAAAAGAACAAAAAAUUCCCCCCAAAAGAAGAAGCAAUAAAAGCAAAUGCCUUAAAAACAACAACAACAACAAAAAAAAAAAAAAAACACAACAUAAAACCAACAAAUAAAAAUCCAACUACAAAAAAAGUAAAGAAAUAAUAACAAAAGAAAAAGUAAAAACAAAAUAAAAACAGAAAAAGGGGGAGAAGAACCGAGGAAAAAAUAUCCAAAGAACACAGAAAAAAGUCAAAACACCUCUCAAAACAAAAUGAAAACAAAUCCCAAACUAUAGUGACAAAAAAAAAUUGUAAAUUGUAAACAAUUGUUUUGUAGACAAAAAAAAAAAUUGUAAAACAAUACAAAAUGACAAUACAUAAAAUGAAAAAAAAAAAAAGGACAAAAAGCAAGCAAAAUCCCCUGUUCUCCAAAAACAAGAGAAGGCAACAACCAGAGCAAGUAAAAAGAAAAUAUUUAAUCUUAAAAUCUUUUAAAACUCCCUCAAAAACAGGACAACCCCCUAAAAAUCUCCACCCUAUAAAAAGAAAAUAACUAAAUCAAAGAAAGCAAAAAAGCAACAACAAAAAAAUCCUAACGAUAUUCCAACUUAAAAUAAAAAUACAGAAAAUGAAAAAAAGACAAAAUACAAAACCCCGUAAAAACAGAACAAGAAAAAAUGAUCAAUUCCCUAAGCUAACACAGAAUAAUAAAAAUACAUUAAUAAAACUACAAAAAAAAAAUAAAACAGAAAAAAAAGACAAAAGAACCCCUCAUAGCAUCCCCAAGAAAUAAGAAUCCUAAAACAAAAAAAAAAGAAUCCCUCCUAAAGAGAAAAAAAAAAAAAACACCAACAAAACAAACAGAAAAAUACUGUCAAUUAAUGAAAGAAUCAAAGAAUUCAAAGAAAUCAAAGAAACAGAGAAAAGAAAAACACAUAAAAGCAGUAACAGGGAGGAAAAAAAAAAAAAGAGGAUAAAAAACAACACACCAAUAAAUAAAAAAGCAUCGCCCCAAAGUAACACCCUCAAAAAGUUAAAAAACAACAAAACCAUGCACACACAAAAACUACGAAAAUACACAUAAAACAGAAAUAAAAACAAAACAAGAACAAAAUUAGCAACAGAAGUAAAAAAAAUAAAAUAAAAGGCACAGCAAGCCCAACCCAAUGUGACCACCUGGAUUUGGCCCCCUCUGGGGGCUGUAGCUGUCCCUUGUCACUCUGAGAGGAGGGGUCAGUGUUUUGCAUUUCCAGAGGCCCCUUCCAGACCCAGCCAUACCAUGGCUUUGCUGAAGAGCUUGGUCGCACCCUUACCUGAACCUU
ensembl:lncRNA